rnacentral:lncRNA from 1 species
ACGUGCGGCUAACGUGCAGCUAGCAUAACUAAUGUUUACAAUACACGAUCAUGGCGUAAUGCUUUGAUAAUCCAUGCUGUGUUUACAAUUGUUCCGCGCUAGAGUGCACUGUGUCACAGGCUGCCACGGAUAACACGUUAAUCUACACGUGCAUCGUCUGAUACUAUAUGCAAAUUGCCUGUAAUUUCCCGAUCGCUGUCCCUUAUGUAAAUAGCCUUUUCUGUCUUCCCUCAGCUUGCAGGAGAGCGUGCCUUUCUGAGAUGUCAGUGAGUCCACCAAAGGCUGCAGAGGAUUCUUCAAAAAGGUGUCGGGAGAUGUGAGGACGGUGCUGUCCAGCGCCUGCUGUUCCACUGUGUACAUACACACACCCAGCCUCACUUCAGUAUGAAUGGGGAUAUGCCUCAUGUUCCCAUCACUACUCUCGCUGGGAUCGCUAGCCUUACAGACUGUGAGUGACCACUUUUUAUCCACAACACAUUUGAGUGUUUCUAUGACAUGUUAAAACCAAACAUGACACAACGUAUUUGCCUAAUAAUAUGCAUUUUUUCCUUUUAAAGCAAAAGCUCUUUCAUGCCUAUUCUAAAUACAGAGCUCAAAUGAUGGACGAGACAUGGAUGUAACUUUUUUUUUUUAUGUGAUUGUGUUUCAGUGCUGAACCAGCUUCCCCUUCCCUCUCCUCUGCCGGCCACCACCACUAAGAGCCUCUUGUACAAUGGGAGGAUUGCAGAGGAGGUCACUUGUCUGUUGGGCUGUCGAGAUGAGAAUUUGGCCUCCCAGUUAGCCAAGGGCUCAACCAGGUCUCCACAGAACACAUGUGAGUGUCUCGGGAAUUGAUUUCUAACAAAUAAUUAUGGAUGACAAUGGGUUUCUAAUCUGGACUACUACAAACAGAGAACAAACGUCUUUUUAUAAUACUCAAGCACAUUUCUGAAGUUUCUUUUUUAGUAUCCAUUUUUGUCUGUACAAUAACCGCUGAACUAGCCACAACAAGAUCUGUGUAACAUGGACGGUCAAUGAGUUACAGAUUAAUCAAGUAAAACAUUUGCCAAUUUCGGCUCUACUCAUUUUAAAUGUUCUCGCUGACAGAAUGUAACUUACAAUAAUAUUAUCGUGGUAUUAGAACAAAACAUCAAAAGGCAGACCUGUUCUUUAAAAUGCUGUAUUUGGUAUCGUUUCAUCUUUAGCAUCAACUUUUGAAUGUUUAAGAUUUCUCUUUUCAGAAUGUAUUUUAUGUUAUAUUUCAUUAUAUAAUUAUCUGUUUUCAAAUACUCCAAUCAAUCAAUUGAUAACUCAAACUUGCUCUCGAAAUACACUCCCGAUCAAAAGUUUAAAGCCGGUUUAAAUUCACAUUGUGCAUGGUUGGAUUUUAAGGUUCAAAGUAGAACUUCAAUCUGCAACAGGAAGAAAAGGGAGUGAGACAAAAAAAGAGAGGAAAGCUUUUAUUGAAAACGACAAAUAAACUGAAAUAGGCUAAAAUGCAGCUGAUCAAAACUUUAAGACCAUGUGCCUUUAAAAAUGUGGAUUCAGUGUCAUUUUUUGUCAGGUAUUCACACUGUCAUGACGACCUGAUGGCAAAGAUGGCAAAAAAAUAUUUCUUUUAAGCAGGGCCUCUCGUAGCGCGCCAUCGCUGCUGAGGUGGUAAGACAGUCAUUUUGAAUUUCUGAAACGAUCCUGAGGGUUAUGGAACAAAAAAGUCAAGUGGAAGACCCAAGAAAAUGUCCCCAGUUCUGAGCCGGAGGAUCCGAUUGGCUGUCUGAUUUGGGACAAUCCUCAGCCUAAAUUAAGGCCAUUACUGGAGCCAAUAGCAGCCCAAUAACCAUCAGAGGCAUCUGCGACUGAAGGGCUUCAACAACAAAGAAAACGUCUUCAAAGGCCUCGUCUCCUUGAGCCCCACACAACUGUCUGUUUGGACUUUGCAAGAGAGACCAAACAUGGGACAUUGAAAGGUGGAAGACAUUUUUCCUCUCUGAUGGGAAAUAACGUGACCUUGAUGGUCCUGAUGGUUUCCAACGUUACAGGCAUCAGAAGCAGAUCCACCUGAGAUGUUUUCCACGAGCCACUGAGCCAUAAUGAUCUGGGGCUUUUUCCUUCAGUAGAACAAUGGAGCGUCAGGUGGUGCUGGGGCAUCUGUGCAGAUGUUACAGAGAUCAUCCCUCAUGACUGAGUUCCUCGUUUGUGUGGGAAUCACAGGUUAUUGAGCUGCUAUCGGCUCCAGUAACGGCCUUCAUUUGGGUCGAGGAUCAUCCCAAAUCAGACAGCCAAUCGGAUCCUCCGGCUCAGUGCUGGGGAAAUUCUUUUGGGUCUUCAACGUGACGUUUUGGUUCUAAACUGGUCUUAAACUUUAGAUCGGUUCUGUACUUCCUUUGUAAUACGGUAUAUUGCUGCGUUCAUGUGGACUGGGGAGCUCGAUGUGACAUAUUGUCCCCAGUUGGUUUGUGUUCAUGUGCUUUUUAUGUG